rnacentral:lncRNA from 10 species
AUUUCCUCUAUUUUACAGAUAAGAAAACUGAACCACAGAGAGGUAUUCCUGGCCAGGUGCCGUGGCUCACACCUGUAAUCCCAGCACAUUGGGAGGCUGAGAGGAACCAGACUAGCAUUUCUCAGUGGGUUCCAGUAUGCAGCCGAUUGAUACCUGUGUCUCCUACCCAAGGACAGGGGGACAGGGCUCUGUCUCGCACUUCCCAGUGGCCCCAGAUGAGCCAGUCCCGAGCAUGUGGUGGAUCAGAACAGAUUCCUGGAAUAGACAUACAGCUGAAUAGGAAGUAUCACACCACACGUAAGCUUUCUACUACCAAAGAUUCCCCACAGCCUGUUGAGGAGAAGGUUGGUGCUUUCACAAAGAUAAUAGAAGCCAUGGGAUUCACGGGACCUUUGAAAUACAGUAAAUGG